rnacentral:rRNA from 1 species
GUGCCAGCAGCAGCGGUAAUACGAAGGGGGCUAGCGUUGUUCGGAAUUACUGGGCGUAAAGCGCACGUAGGCGGAUUGUUAAGUCGGGGUGAAAUCCUGAGGCUCAACCUCAGAACUGCCUUCGAUACUGGCGAUCUUGAGUUCGGAAGAGGUUGGUGGAACAGCUAGUGUAGAGGUGAAAAUUCGUAGAUAUUAGCUAGAACACCAGUGGCGAAGGCGGCCAACUGGUCCGAUACUGACGCUGAGGUGCGAAAGCGUGGGAGCAAACAGGAUUAGAUACCCUGGUAGUCCACGCCGUAAACGAUGAAUGCCAGCCGUCGGGGA